AUUGAACGCUGGCGGCAGGCCUAACACAUGCCAGUCGGCCGAGCGGCGGACGGGUGAGUAAUGUAUGGGGAUCUGCCUGAUGGCGGGGGAUAACUACUGGAAACGGUAGCUCAUACCGCAUACCAUCAGAUGAACCCAUAUGGGAUUAGCUUGUAUGUUAGGUAACGGCUCACCUAGGCGACGAUCCCUAGCUGGUCUGAGAGGAUGAUCAGCCAAACUAGGACUGGGAAACGUCCCAGACUCCUACGGGAGGCAGCAGUGGGGAAUAUUGCACAAUGGGCGCAAGCCUGAUGCAGCCAUGCCGAGUGUAUGAAGAAGGCCUUCGGGUUGUAAAGUACGUUCAGUCGGGAGGCGUUACCGACAGAAGAAGCACCGGCUAACGCCGUGCCAGCAGCCGCGGUAAUUC
rnacentral:rRNA from 1 species